rnacentral:rRNA from 1 species
UACAGAGGUCUCAAGCGAUUGUUCGGAUUCAUUGGGCGUAAAGGGUGCGUAGGCGGCGCGGUAAGUCGGGUGUGAAAUCUUGGAGCUUAACUCCGAAACUGCAUUCGAUACUGCCGUGCUUGAGGACUGGAGAGGAGACUGGAAUUUACGGUGUAGCGGUGAAAUGCGUAGAUAUCGUAAGGAAGACCAGUGGCGAAGGCGGGUCUCUGGACAGUUCCUGACACUGAGGCACGAAGGCCAGGGGAGCAAACGGG